rnacentral:rRNA from 1 species
CCUACGGGUGGCAGCAGUAGGGAAUCUUGCACAAUGGGCGCAAGCCUGAUGCAGCGAUGCCGCGUGAGGGAUGAAGGCCUUCGGGUUGUAAACCUCUUUCAGUAGGGAAGAAGCCACGGGUCACCGUGGUGACGGUACCUGCAGAAGAAGCCCCGGCUAACUACGUGCCAGCAGCCGCGGUAAAACGUAGGGGGCAAGCGUUGCCCGGAUUCACUGGGCGUAAAGCGGGUGUAGGCGGUUCUUUAAGUCGGAUGUGAAAUUUCGCGGCCUAACCGCGAAACUGCAUCCGAUACUGGGGAACUUGAGGACGGUAGAGGUCGGUGGAAUUCCAGGUGUACCGGUGAAAUGGGCAGAUAUCUGGAGGAACACCAGUGGCGAAGGCGGCCGACUGGGCCGAUCCUGACGCUGAGACCCGAAAGCUAGGGUAGCGAACCGGAUUA